CAAGCUGGCGGCGUGCCUAAUACAUGCAAGUCGAGCGGAUCUUCAUUAGCUUGCUUUUGAAGAUCAGCGGCGGACGGGUGAGUAACACGUGGGCAACCUGCCUGUAAGACUGGGAUAACUUCGGGAAACCGGAGCUAAUACCGGAUAAUCCUUUUCCUCACAUGAGGGAAAGCUGAAAGACGGUUUCGGCUGUCACUUACAGAUGGGCCCGCGGCGCAUUAGCUAGUUGGUGAGGUAACGGCUCACCAAGGCAACGAUGCGUAGCCGACCUGAGAGGGUGAUCGGCCACACUGGGACUGAGACACGGCCCAGACUCCUACGGGAGGCAGCAGUAGGGAAUCUUCCGCAAUGGACGAAAGUCUGACGGAGCAACGCCGCGCGAACGAUGAAGGCUUUCGGGUCGUAAAGUUCUGUUGUUAGGGAAGAACAAGUAUCGGAGUAACUGCCGGUACCUUGACGGUACCUAACCAGAAAGCCACGGCUAACUACGUGCCAGCAGCCGCGGUAAUACGUAGGUGGCAAGCGUUGUCCGGAAUUAUUGGGCGUAAAGCGCGCGCAGGCGGUUCCUUAAGUCUGAUGUGAAAGCCCCCGGCUCAACCGGGGAGGGUCAUUGGAAACUGGG
rnacentral:rRNA from 1 species